rnacentral:rRNA from 1 species
UACAGAGGUCUCAAGCGUUGUUCGGAUUCAUUGGGCGUAAAGGGUGCGUAGGCGGCGCGGUAAGUCGGGUGUGAAAUCUCGGAGCUUAACUCCGAAACUGCAUUCGAUACUGCCGUGCUUGAGGACUGGAGAGGAGACUGGAAUUUACGGUGUAGCGGUGAAAUUCGUAGAUAUUGGGAAGAACACCGGUGGCGAAGGCGGGACUCUGGGCCGAUACUGACGCUGAGGAGCGAAAGCGUGGGGAGCAAACAGG